rnacentral:rRNA from 1 species
UAUCAAAGGAGCAAUCCGCUGAAAGAUGGGCUCGCGUCCGAUUAGGUAGUUGGUGGGGUAACGGCCCACCAAGCCGACGAUCGGUAGCCGGACUGAGAGGUCGGACGGCCACAUUGGGACUGAGACACGGCCCAGACUCCUACGGGAGGCAGCAGUAAGGGAUAUUGGUCAAUGGGGGAAACCCUGAACCAGCAACGCCGCGUGAGGGAAGACGGUUUUCGGAUUGUAAACCUCUGUCCUCUGUGAAGAUGAUGACGGUAGCGGAGGAGGAAGCUCCGGCUAACUACGUGCCAGCAGCCGCGGUAAUACGUAGGGAGCGAGCGUUGUCCGGAUUUACUGGGUGUAAAGGGUGCGUAGGCGGCUUGGCAAGUCAGUAGUGAAAUCCAUGGGCUUAACCCAUGAACUGCUAUUGAAACUGUCGAGCUUGAGUGAAGUAGAGGUAGGCGGAAUUCCCGGUGUAGCGGUGAAAUGCGUAGAGAUCGGGAGGAACACCAGUGGCGAAGGCGGCCUACUGGGCUUUAACUGACGCUGAGGCACGAAAGCGUGGGUAGCAAACAGGAUUAGAUACCCUGGUAGUCCACGCUGUAAACGAUGAUUACUAGGUGUGGGUGGACUGACCCCAUCCGUGCCGGAGU